rnacentral:rRNA from 1 species
AAGCCUCUAAGCAUAUCCAUAGUCGUCCGUACCGCAAACCGACACAGGUAGAUGAGAUGAGUAUUCUAAGGCGCGUGAAAGAACUCUGGUUAAGGAACUCUGCAAACUAGCACCGUAAGUUCGCGAUAAGGUGUGCCACAGCGAUGUGGUCUCAGCAAAGAGUCCCUCCCGACUGUUUACCAAAAACACAGCACUUUGCCAACUCGUAAGAGGAAGUAUAAGGUGUGACGCCUGCCCGGUGCUCGAAGGUUAAGAGGAUGCGUCAGUCGCAAGAUGAAGCGUUGAAUUGAAGCCCGAGUAAACGGCGGCCGUAACUAUAACGGUCCUAAGGUAGCGAAAUUCCUUGUCGGUUAAAUACCGACCUGCAUGAAUGGCGUAACGAGAUGGGAGCUGUCUCAACCAGAGAUUCAGUGAAAUUGUAGUGGAGGUGAAAAUUCCUCCUACCCGCGGCAAGACGGAGAGACCCCGUGGACCUUUACUACAACUUAGCACUGCUAAUGGGAAUAUCAUGCGCAG